rnacentral:rRNA from 1 species
AUUGAACGCUGGCGGCAUGCCUUACACAUGCAAGUCGAACGGCAGCACGGGUGCUUGCGCCUGGUGGCGAGUGGCGAACGGGUGAGUAAUACAUCGGAACGUACCUUAUCGUGGGGGAUAACGCAGCGAAAGCUGUGCUAGUACCGCAUACGCCCUGAGGGGGAAAGCGGGGGAUCGCAAGACCUCGCGCGAUUAGAGCGGCCGAUGCCUGAUUAGCUAGUUGGUGGGGUAAAAGCCCACCAAGGCGACGAUCAGUAGCUGGUCUGAGAGGACGAUCAGCCACACUGGGACUGAGACACGGCCCAGACUCCUACGGGAGGCAGCAGUGGGGAAUUUUGGACAAUGGGGGCAACCCUGAUCCAGCAAUGCCGCGUGAGUGAAGAAGGCCUUCGGGUUGUAAAGCUCUUUUGUCAGGGAAGAAACACCGGCUCUAACACAGUCCGGGGAUGACGGUACCUGAAGAAUAAGCACCGGCUAACUACGUGCCAGCCGCCGCGGUAA